rnacentral:rRNA from 1 species
GCAAGCCGAGCGGUAGAGAUCUUUCGGGAUCUUGAGAGCGGCGUACGGGUGCGGAACACGUGUGCAACCUGCCUUUAUCUGGGGGAUAGCCUUUCGAAAGGAAGAUUAAUACCCCAUAAUAUACUGAAUGGCAUCAUUCUGUAUUGAAAACUCCGGUGGAUAGAGAUGGGCACGCGCAAGAUUAGAUAGUUGGUGAGGUAACGGCUCACCAAGUCUACGAUCUUUAGGGGGCCUGAGAGGGUGAUCCCCCACACUGGUACUGAGACACGGACCAGACUCCUACGGGAGGCAGCAGUGAGGAAUAUUGGACAAUGGGUGAGAGCCUGAUCCAGCCAUCCCGCGUGAAGGACGACGGCCCUAUGGGUUGUAAACUUCUUUUGUAUAGGGAUAAACCUACCCUCGUGAGGGUAGCUGAAGGUACUAUACGAAUAAGCACCGGCUAACUCCGUGCCAGCAGCCGCGGUAAUACGGAGGGUGCAAGCGUUAUCCGGAUUUAUUGGGUUUAAAGGGUCCGUAGGCGGAUCUGUAAGUCAGUGGUGAAAUCUCACAGCUUAACUGUGAAACUGCCAUUGAUACUGCAGGUCUUGAGUGUUGUUGAAGUAGCUGGAAUAAGUAGUGUAGCGGUGAAAUGCAUAGAUAUUACUUAGAACACCAAUUGCGAAGGCAGGUUACUAAGCAACAACUGACGCUGAUGGACGAAAGCGUGGGGAGCGAACAGGAUUAGAUACCCUGGUAGUCCACGCCGUAAACGAUGCUAACUCGUUUUUGGAAUGUAAGUUUCAGAGACUAAGCGAAAGUGAUAAGUUAGCCACCUGGGGAGUACGAACGCAAGUUUGAAACUCAAAGGAAUUGACGGGGGCCCGCACAAGCGGUGGAUUAUGUGGUUUAAUUCGAUGAUACGCGAGGAACCUUACCAAGGCUUAAAUGGGAAAUGACAGGUUUAGAAAUAGACUUUUCUUCGGACAUUUUUCAAGGUGCUGCAUGGUUGUCGUCAGCUCGUGCCGUGAGGUGUUAGGUUAAGUCCUGCAACGAGCGCAACCCCUGUCACUAGUUGCCAUCAUUAAGUUGGGGACUCUAGUGAGACUGCCUACGCAAGUAGAGAGGAAGGUGGGGAUGACGUCAAAUCAUCACGGCCCUUACGCCUUGGGCCACACACGUAAUACAAUGGCCGGUACAGAGGGCAGCUACACUGCGAAGUGAUGCAAAUCUCGAAAGCCGGUCUCAGUUCGGAUUGGAGUCUGCAACUCGACUCUAUGAAGCUGGAAUCGCUAGUAAUCGCGCAUCAGCCAUGGCGCGGUGAAUACGUUCCCGGGCCUUGUACACACCGCCCGUCAAGCCAUGGAAGUCUGGGGUACCUGAAGUCGGUGACCGUAACAGGAG